rnacentral:tRNA from 1 species
GCCACCUUAGCUCAAUGGUAGAGCAACUGUUUUGUAAACAGUAGGUUGUGGGUUCGAGUCCCUCAGGUGGCUCCA